GACAAACUGGUGCACUCAUUUCUCAUUAAACCAAUCAACAACAUGGCAACAGAGCAAGUCAAUGUCUUACCUUGAAUAAGGCCUCAUGGAAAUGCGGUGCUCCAUGCGGUGCGGUGCGGUGCGGUGCGGUGCGGUAGUCGAGCUGCACAGGGCUGGUGGGAAAGUCUGCGGGCAUAUGUUGGACAGGUGAAGGACUGCAGAGGAGCCAGAGGGAAGUGAGAAGUGGCUGACGGGGACACAGGAGCAGAAAGAGCAAAAUAAACAAGGUGGAAGCAGAAAUCAUAACAAGGCCAGUUCAGCCUACAGAAGUUUCUGAGGGCUCGCACGAUGUGUUUUGCAGAAAUAAGUUCCUGCCGAGUGAAACAUGUCUGCAGUCAGUGUCUCUGAUGUCUACUGCAGACAUACACACCAGGUGAAUUGAAUCAUCUGUGACUGAUAGACAGGCUAAACGAACGUGGGACUUACAUUAUGCUUUAACGGACACAUUUCAUGUUUUGCAUCUAUGCCUUUUAAUUAGGGUCAUCCAAAAUUUCUGUUAAUAUCGUAGAUUUCUUCGCCUUGCAAUUACUCUACUCUCUGGAAUCAAGUAUAUUACAGUACAUGACGACUUGAUCUUUGAAACCCAUGAUAAUCUGCAUCCCUAAUUUCUAUGGUCAACACCUAAAAUCUCCUUAAAAAAAGGCACUUCAGUAAAGAUCUGUAAACAUCUGAGCUAAUCAGGACUAAUGUGCCUUUUUGUUUGGAUAGUUAUAAUGAAACAGUGAACACCUUAAACUGCAUCUACUCUAUAACAUCUUCAAGCGAGUCAUACUACAUCACCUUGCUUGAAAAGUUGUGGGAUGGACUACUCUUACUUUGGAAGUUAAUUGGUUUCCAUUUGUUUAAUUUAAAGUGGGCGUUUGUUUUUCUGAUCACAAAGCGGAAAGAAGAGGCCAGGAGUUCUCUCGAGGCGAUGUUGUGCUUUCUUUAUAUUACCCUCCAAACACAGGCCAGUUAUUGAAGGAUAGAAAGAAAUAAAACUCUCCCCGCAGUUAAUAAAUCCCAUCAUUGUUGUGCUA